rnacentral:rRNA from 1 species
UACGUAGGGGGCAAGCGUUGUCCGGAUUUAUUGGGCGUAAAGAGCGUGUAGGCGGCCUGGUAGGUCAGCUGUGAAAACUCGAGGCUCAACCUCGAGACGCCGGUUGAAACCAUCUGGCUAGAGUCCGGAAGAGGAGAGUGGAAUUCCUGGUGUAGCGGUGAAAUGCGCAGAUAUCAGGAAGAACACCCGUGGCGAAGGCGGCUCUCUGGGACGGUACUGACGCUGAGACGCGAAAGCGUGGGGAGCGAACAGG